rnacentral:rRNA from 1 species
AACGUAGGUUCCGAGCGUUAUCCGGAUUUACUGGGCGUAAAGCGCGUUCAGGCGGUUUGGCAAGUCGGGCAUGAAAUCUCUCGGCUCAACCGGGAGAGGUUGUCCGAUACUUCCAGACUUGAGGGCAGUAGAGGGUGGUGGAAUUCCGGGUGUAGUGGUGAAAUGCGUAGAGAUCCGGAGGAACCCCAGAGGCGAAGGCGGCAGCCUGGUUGGUAUCUGACGCUCGGACACGACAGCAUGGGGAGCGAACGGG